AUUAAGUAUAACCAUAAAUUUCCACACCUAACUUUAGUCACAUGUCUUAUUUGAAAACUUGUUGUAAUUAGUACUUUUGUUGUUAUGAGAUGAUAAAAUAUGAAUAGUAUUUUAUGCGUGACUUAUGUUUUUAUUUUUUUCAAGAAUUUUUAAAAUAAGACGGACGAUCAAAGUUGGACACGGAAACUCAUGGCUACACUUAAA
rfam:Oryza nivara chromosome 4, whole genome shotgun sequence.